CUAUCAUCGUGGACUUCUUUGGCAGAGGCAUACAUAGGGUGCCUCUCGGCCAAAGUUACCGGGUAGAGACAAAGCUACUGCUCAAAAA